rnacentral:rRNA from 1 species
AGCCCUUCGGGGUGGAUGAGUGGCGAACGGGUGAGUAACACGUGGGCAACCUGCCCUGCACUCUGGGAUAACUUCGGGAAACCGGAGCUAAUACCGGAUAACAUCCUCCUCCGCAUGGUGGGGGGUUGAAAGUUCCGGCGGUGCAGGAUGGGCCCGCGGCCUAUCAGCUUGUUGGUGGGGUAGUGGCCUACCAAGGCGACGACGGGUAGCCGGCCUGAGAGGGCGACCGGCCACACUGGGACUGAGACACGGCCCAGACUCCUACGGGAGGCAGCAGUGGGGAAUAUUGCGCAAUGGGCGAAAGCCUGACGCAGCGACGCCGCGUGAGGGAUGACGGCCUUCGGGUUGUAAUCCUCUUUCAGCAGGGAAGAAGCGAAAGUGACGGUACCUGCAGAAGAAGCACCGGCUAACUACGUGCCAGCAGCCGCGGUAAUACGUAGGGUGCGAGCGUUGUCCGGAAUUAUUGGGCGUAAAGAGCUCGUAGGCGGCCUGUCGCGUCGGAUGUGAAAACUCGGGGCUUAACCCCGAGCCUGCAUUCGAUACGGGCAGGCUAGAGUUCGGCAGGGGAGACUGGAAUUCCUGGUGUAGCGGUGAAAUGCGCAGAUAUCAGGAGGAACACCGGUGGCGAAGGCGGGUCUCUGGGCCGAUACUGACGCUGAGGAGCGAAAGCGUGGGGAGCGAACAGGAUUAGAUACCCUGG